AUUGAACGCUGGCGGCAGGCCUAACACAUGCAAGUCGAGCGGUAGCACAGGGAGCUUGCUCCUGGGUGACGAGCGGCGGACGGGUGAGUAAUGUCUGGGAAACUGCCUGAUGGAGGGGGAUAACUACUGGAAACGGUAGCUAAUACCGCAUAACGUCGCAAGACCAAAGAGGGGGACCUUCGGGCCUCUUGCCAUCCGAUGUGCCCAGAUGGGAUUAGCUAGUAGGUGGGGUAACGGCUCACCUAGGCGACGAGCCCUAGCUGGUCUGAGAGGAUGACCAGCCACACUGGAACUGAGACACGGUCCAGACUCCUACGGGAGGCAGCAGUGGGGAAUAUUGCACAAUGGGCGCAAGCCUGAUGCAGCCAUGCCGCGUGUAUGAAGAAGGCCUUCGGGUUGUAAAGUACUUUCAGCGGGGAGGAAGGCGAUAAGGUUAAUAACCUUGUCGAUUGACGUUACCCGCAGAAGAAGCACCGGCUAACUCCGUGCCAGCCGCCGCAGUAAUAC
rnacentral:rRNA from 1 species